rfam:Microbial mat metagenome hsmat01_BHWG2156_y1, whole genome shotgun sequence.
GAGGGCAGGCCCCUCGGAGCCGCCGUACAGGCGGAGGCUUCAAACCACCCACUGCUGCUGCGUUUAAGAGACGUGGUGGUGAGCGAGUUGGGAAAAGGCCGGGCACGACCUGGUCAGGU